UACGAAGGGGGCUAGCGUUGUUCGGAAUCACUGGGCUUAAAGGGCGCGUAGGCGGGCCCUCAAGUCCGGGGUGAAAUCCUCCCGCCCAACGGGAGAAGAGCCUCGGAGACUGAGGGCCUCGAGGGAGGUAGGGGCGUGCGGAACACUGGGUGGAGCGGUGAAAUGCAUUGAUAUCCAGUGGAACUCCGGUGGCGAAGGCGGCACGCUGGACCUCGUCUGACGGCUGAGGCGCGAAAGCCAGGGGAGCAAACGGG
rnacentral:rRNA from 1 species